CGCCUGUUUAUCAAAAACAUGGCUCUCUGUAUAUUGAAGAUAGAGAGUCGGACCUGCCCGGUGAAUUUUUUAACGGCCGCGGUACUCUGACCGUGCAAAGGUAGCAUAAUCAUUUGCCUUAUAAUUGAAGGCUAGAAUGAAUGGUUUGACAAGAAUACAACUGUCUCUUUACAAUUACAUAAAAUUUUAUCUGCAGUUGAAGAAGCCUGCAUUUGAAUAAAAGACAAGAAGACCCUAUCGAGCUUAAAAAAAACUGGUGGAAUAACAAACUUAAUCCUAACUUAUAAAUAAAUAAAUAGUCAACUACUGGAAAUUUUGGUUGGGGCGACCGGGGAACAAAAAAAACUUCCUUUAUAAAAAUUUAGAUGCCCAAAUAUUGAUCCAGCAUUAUAUGAUUAAAGAAAUUAGUUGCCAUAGGGAUAACAGCAUUAUCUUUUUUAAGAGUUCUUAUCGAAAAAUUUUUUGUGACCUCGAUGUUGGACCAGAAUAUCCUAAAGAUGCAGCCGUCUUAAGG
rnacentral:rRNA from 1 species